ACCUGCGACAUGUCCAUUUGUUUUUCUGUGUCAUUUGUGUUUCUAAGGCAUGCACAUGGCUGCUGUACUAAUGCAAUUAUCUCUUCAUUCUAAACAGGAAACAGCCGUACCUAUGGCAACAUCAAUCAGUCAACUACUGACCGCCAACCCACAACUGUUCUCCAUGGAUGGCACCAUAGAUAGCCUUACCAAGACAACAGAAGGAUUUUCACAGAAGCUGAGUGCUGAGGUGUCAUCAGUGGUCCAGCCUAAACUUGUGGUCCAGGCAACACAUCCAAUCAGCCAAUCAGAAGGGGUCCGGUUCAGGGCUCUCUCUGGAACAUCUAGCAACUUCGCAUCAAACAGAAUUCAGGUGGACAGCAAUGCUUCAGAAAUGAAUGAGAGUGUAAUCCCUUCUGAAGUUGAUAUUUUCAUUAAAUUACCUCAUGGUAUGUAUGUCUCUCUCUGUUUGUAUGCAUGUUAAUAUGUUUGUAUGUAUGUACUGUAUGUAUGUAUGAAGUGAAAUAGCUGAACUUGAAUGGUAACACAGACCCCCUUCUCUUUCACAGACUCAGAACCAAAUUCAAACGUAACCGUUGGUUUUGUUCUCUAUGACAAUGACGUCCUCUUCCAAUCUAAGUCCUUUAAGUCAAGUCUGGGCACCAGCAGGAGGGUGAUCUCAGGCAGCACGACUGGUGUUAAAGCUGAAUACGUGACACUAAGCUUCAAGCCAUUGGUACUGCAGACCGACAUACCAUACAUUACCUUAUUCAUUAUUAACUAUUAAAUCUUAACUUCAUUUAAAACAAAACAGUUCCCAAUUCACUAUCUCACUUUGUCUCUGAUGUUUCAUAAUUAUCAGUGAGACAGCAUUUCUAUUAGAAACUGACUAAUUGUUUCCCUUCUUUUCAGAAUGUAUCUAACAAAGUCCUUCAUGACUUUGUCUGUGUGUUCUGGGACUACGACCUAAAUGACUGGAGCACCAAGGGCUGCUCCAAAGUGAACAACUCUGGGAGUCUCCAGUGUCGCUGUAACCACACUACUAACUUUGCUGUGCUGAUGGUUAGUACUGCAGCAAGUCUAUUUUAGAUCACAACAUAAGAAGACUAAAUUAUUUAUUUGAGACAUUUAAACAGUUUGUGAUAC